GGCCAGUUAGCUCAGUUGGUAGGGCACCUGACUGGAGAUCUUAAGGGGCCCCGGGUUCGAGUCCCGGUCUGGUCU